CAAGCCUGACCCACUCAGGUUUUAUGAUUACAGGUAGUGGACCCCGAGCAUAGUCGGAGGACGACGAGAGAUUUUUGGAUUAUAGGCCAGUAGUUGUAAAUAACUGUUGAAAGGCUUAUAAUGUCUUGUUUAUGCUUUUGAUCUGUAUCGGAACAUGACAUCCCGAGGUUUUGGAUAUAUAUGGAAAAUAUAUACCUUCUUAAUGAAGGGUUUUGAUAAACUUUUAUCAUAUGUUGUUUGGAGACCAAUUCCGCAACAUCUUUUAAAAAGAUUUCUCUGAUUUUAUUUUAAAAAGCAUAAUUUAAAUCGGUCUUUUCUGGCCGAGAAAUAUGGGGAUGUCACAGUUGGUAUCAGAGCAUUAGUUUAAGCGAACUAAGAAAUUGUAGAAUUUGUAGACUUGAACUUAGAAUGCUAAGUGAUGAUUGUGAGAUGAGUGUCUACCAUAUUUUAGACACGAGCACUAGUUUAUUUUAGGGAAGAUGCCUGAAUUUUCCUUAUGUGCUAAAUGCUAUGUGUUUGCCAUGUGUGCCAUUAUUUGUUCGGAUCUAUGGUCUGUUGCCGACCGGAACUGGAAACUUUAUGUGUGUAGGAUUCUAAGUGUAUGAAUACGAGUUUAGAACUAACAUGUAAACUUUUCGGAGUAAUAAGGGAAUUGACAUGUCUAACAAGAAUAAAGACCUAAAUUCGCCUUAUUCGGUAUAUAGAUUGUAAUGGAAAGAACUCGGAUUGGAGCUGGAAAUGCAAACAGAAACCAACAACCUCAACCCCAAGUGGUGGAACCGGUGCCUAUAGUAGGAGUUGCACCCGAACCCAUCACCAUGGCUGGAGUACGAACUAUGAUUCAGACCAUGUUGGCUGAACAGAGGGAGGAAUUGAGGCAAAUGUUGCUGAACUACAGGGAUGAACCUUCAGUUCCUGUUGAACAACGUGAACUAAAUGACGAUCGAUCUGAAGAAAGGAACAACAUUAGAUCGGUUGGUCAUAGUGAACCGCUUGUGGUUGGGAGGAAUAACCACAAGGGUAGAAUGGAGAGAAAUGGGUGCAAGUAUAAGGACUUUAUGACUUGCAAGCCAUCAACCUUCAAUGGAAAAAAAGAUCAUGUCGGAGAAAUGGACUGGAUCUCGGAAAUGGAGUUGGCUUUCAUGACUUGUGAUUGCCAAGGCAAGUUGCAAACUACCUUUGCAGUACAUCAAUUCAGGGGUAGUGCUUCUCAUUGGUGGAGCACUUUGGGGAAAACCCUAAGCCCUAAUGAGCCACUGCAAUUAACUUGGGCAAAGUUCUUAGUGCACUUCAAGCGCAAGUACUGCUCAGCCCAAAACGUACUUGAGUUAGAAAACCAAUUUCUAACGUUACAGAAGGGGAGUAUGACCUUUAACGAAUAUACGAAUAACUUCACAGACAAAAUGGAGUUUGCUUUGCGUAUUGUCCCAGAUGAGCUGGAAAAAAUUGACAGGUACGCAAAGGGACUACCAUGGGAGUAUGCGGUGCCAGUACGUCAGGCACUUACUUUGGAGGCAGCUAUUUGGGCUACCAAGUCUGUUGAAGAUAUGAUAAAAGAGAGAGCCGCCAGCAAGGUUGAAGUUGACGAAAAGAGAAAGUUUGAAGGAACUUUAGGUUCCAAUAAAAAGAACAAAUUCUCGAAGACUGGUUCGAGAAAGUUUGGAGGAGGAAGCGAAGCCAAGUGGUGUGACAAGUGUAAGAAGAAACAUGCUGGGAAGUGCAGCGUGGAAGUCACUUGUUACAAAUGUGGAAAGCCAGGGCAUUAUGCCAAUGAAUGCACCUUCAAUAAGAACAUAUGUUUUGGGUGCAAUGAAGAAGGGCAUAUUUNACAUAUUUUGAUGGAUUGCCCGAAGAAGAAGGACGCAGAAAAACCCAAUCUACCACCAAAGCCGAAGGCGAGAGCCUUUCAGAUGACACUCGAAGCUGCGAAAGAAGAAGCCGAUGUCGCUUCAGGUACCUCUCUUGUAAAUGAAUUGCCUGCCCAAAUUUUGUUUGAUUUUGGAUCCAAUUACUCCUUUAUAUCGCAUGAAUUUGGUAGAAAGCUAGCUUUGCCUGUAGAUAUGCUAGUUAAUGCUAUAGUAGUUGAGAUUGCUAGUGGAAAGUUUGUACAUGUUAGCCAUCGUAUGAAAAACAUCCUCAUUGACUUGGAUGGGAAUAAGUUCCAAGAGGAAUUAUUGCCUAUCGAGUUAAAUGGAUUCGACAUAGUUUUAGGAAUGGAUUGGCUUAGCGCCAACGAUGCAGAAAUACUAUGUAGAAAGAAGAUAGUUAAAGUAAACCCGCCAGGGAAACAGUCGUUUAUGGUGUAUGGAGACAAACGCAAAGUAAACUCUGGAAUUAUUUCCCUAAUGAAAGCCAGAAAGUGUUUGGCCAAGGGAUGUACAUCAUAUCUAGCGUUCGUGAUCGAUGCCAAGAUGGAAAAGAAGGAGGUGCAGAAUAUUCCGGUGGUGUGUGAUUAUCCGGAAGUCUUUCCCGAAGAUCUUCCGGGAUUGCCCCCUGAUCGACAAGUAGAAUUUCGUGUCGACUUGUUACCAAGAACGACGCCGAUAGCAAAAUCACCUUAUCAAUUAGUGCCAACCGAAAUGAAAGAACUUAUCACACAACUUCAGGAGUUAAUGGACAAAGGUUUCAUUCGACCUAGUUCAUCGCCCUGGGGAGCCCCUGUGUUAUUUGUAAAGAUGAAAGACGGGAGCAUGAGAAUGUGCAUCGAUUACAGAGAGCUGAACAAAGCGACGAUAAAGAACAAGUACCCGUUGCCAAGGAUCGAUGACUUGUUCGACCAGUUGCAGGGUUCGAGCUAUUUCUCGAAGAUCGAUCUUAGGUCGGGAUACCAUCAACUAAAGGUGAGAGAGCAGGAUAUCGAAAAGACUGCUUUUAGAACGAGAUAUGGACACUAUGAAUUUUUGGUUAUGUCGUUCGGACUAACCAAUGCCCCAGCAGCUUUCAUGGAUUUGAUGAAUAGGGUUUGUAAACCAUUCUUAGAUAAAUCUGUGAUAGUAUUCAUAGACGAUAUCUUGAUUUAUUCGAAAAGCAAGCAGGAACAUGAAAAGCAUCUACGUGAAGUGCUAGAAGUCCUGAAAAAGGAGAAGUUGUAUGCAAAGUUCUCCAAAUGUGAAUUUUGGAUUCAAGAAGUCCAAUUUUUAGGUCAUGUGGUUAACCAAGAAGGAAUAAUGGUUGACCCAGCAAAGAUUGAAGUUGUAAUGAAGUGGGAACAACCAAAAAGUCCUACGGAGAUUCGAAGCUUUUUAGGAUUAGCUGGAUAUUACCGAAGGUUUAUCCAAGGCUUUUCUUCGAUUGCUACUCCAUUAACAGCUUUGACCCACAAAGGAGCCACUUAUGCUUGGAAUGAGAAGCAUAAGGAAGCCUUUGAGAAGUUGAAGAAGAGAUUGUGUGAAGCACCGAUUCUUUCAUUGCCUGAAGGAGUUGAUGACUUUGCAGUUUAUAGCGAUGCAUCCGGAGUUGGGUUAGGUUGUGUUCUGACCCAAAGGGAUAAAGUGAUCGCGUAUGCAUCGAGGCAAUUGAAGGAACAUGAAAAGAACUACCCCACUCAUGAUCUGGAGUUGGCAGCGGUAGUAUUUGCCUUAAAGAUAUGGAGGCAUUAUCUUUAUGGCACAAAGUGUAAACUUUUCACUGAUCAUAAGAGUCUCCAAUAUCUCUUUAAUCAGAAGGAAUUGAACAUGAGGCAACGACGCUGGCUAGAGUUACUCAAGGACUACGACUGUGAGAUACUUUACCACCCUGGUAAAGCAAAUGUUGUUGCUGAUGCUCUCAGUCGGAAGGUAAACCUUGAAAAGAAAAGGCCAAGAGCGUUGAGAAUUGAAGUUGUCUCGACAAUUGUGGAAAGUAUAAAGAAAGCUCAAGAGGAAGCUUUAGAGAAAAAUGACCGAAAGGAAGAACGUUUGGGCAAAACGUUAGUGUUCGGUACAAACAACCAAGGGUUGAAGGUAUUUCAAGAUAGAAUUUGGGUACCUAAGACGGGCGGAAUAAGAGAUCUUCUGAUGGAAGAAGCUCACAAGACCAUGUACUCAAUUCAUCCCGGCAGUACGAAAAUGUAUAGGGAUCUAAAACCCUAUUAUUGGUGGCCGACGAUGAAGCUCGAUGUUGCUAAGUAUGUGGCCGAGUGUGUAACUUGUGCUAGGGUUAAGGCACAACAUCAGAAACCGUAUGGGAGUUUAGAACCUUUACCCGUACCCAUGGGUAAAUGGGAAGACAUCACCAUGGAUUUUGUGACUAAACUGCCCAGAACAAGGAACGGUCACGACAUGAUUUGGGUGGUCGUUGAUCGCUUCACUAAGAGUGCGCAUUUCAUAGCGGCCAAAGAGAAAUGGUCUAUGGAUAAACUUGCGAAUUCUUACGUGAAGGAAAUUGUGAGGCUUCACGGUGUUCCGUUAACGAUUGUGUCCGAUCGUGACAGCCGUUUUACCUCAAGGUUUUGGAGGAGUCUACAAGAGGAAUUGGGUACCAAGUUGUGUUUGAGUACAGCUUACCAUCCGCAAACCGAUGGUCAGAGCGAGCGAACGAUUCAAACAUUGGAGGAUAUGCUGAGAGCAUGUACCCUAGAAUUCCAAGGUAACUGGGAUGAACACUUACCUUUAGUAGAAUUCUCCUAUAAUAAUAGUUUCCACUCAAGCAUUAAGAUGGCACCUUAUCACGCUUUGUAUGGGGAGAAGUGUCGAACGCCAUCAUGUUGGCUGGAAGCUGGGGAAAAGCAGUUUAUGGGACCUGAAAUAGUCCAUGAGACUGCUGAAAAGUUGAAAGUGAUAAGGGAAAGGAUGUUAGCUGCUCAAGAUCGACAAAAGAGUUAUGCUGACAAGAAAAGACAACCGAUAUCCUUCGAUGUUGGAGAUUCGGUUUUACUUAAAGUCUCGCCGUGGAAGGGACUUAUAAGAUUUGGGAAACGAGGGAAGUUGAGUCCAAGGUUUAUUGGACCAUUUAAAGUUCUUCAGAGGAUCGGGAAUCAAGCUUACAAGCUAGAGUUACCGGAAGAACUAGAGGGUAUUCAUAACACCUUUCAUGUGUGUUAUUUGAGAAAGUUCACAGGAGAUGUGCCCGACAUAAUUCCGAUUUCUGAGUUAAGGUUGGAUGAAAACAAGAGGUUGAUCGAAGAACCUGAGGCAAUCGUUGACCGUAAGACUAUGAAGUUACGACGCAAGAUGGUCGAUUUAGUGCUUGUGCGCUGGAAACAUACGAAUGGACCAAAUCUCACUUGGGAAACGGAGAGUGACAUGAUGAGUCGCUACCCGCAUUUGUUUGGUGAUAUGUGAUUCCGGGGACGGAAUCAUCCUAAGGGGGAGAGAAUUGUAACACUCGUGUUUCUAGCCUAGGCAUUUAUAUUGAGUUGAUAGUCUAGGUUAACCUUUGUAACUCAUUUUGAAGAAAUGAAAAGGAGUUAUGUGAAUAUUAUGUGAAUUAUGUGUUUUAUGCUUAAUUAUUAGGGCUUAAUUAAUUAAGAAUAAAAAUAAGCAUAAAAAUUAAAGUGUGAGAUAAGCCCGAUAUCUUUACAUAAAGUUGUAGUGGUCGAAACAAGGAUUUCGGGGAUAUAAAAAAUACCAAAAUCCGAGUUAUAACAAAGAAGUUAUGACCUGUCGAAGUUUCGCGACAAAACCGGCACGGUGCUGAAUGUCGUAAAAAGUGAGUUUUUGAUAAACUACUUUUUAGCCUUAGUAAUCUAAACGAAAGUUGUAGUAUUCGUUAAACCGAGAAGUUCGAUAAAAAGAACGCCCAAAUCUGACUUCGUAUGAAGAAGUUAUGAUUUUUCGAAGUUUCAGCUUAGCAAUAGAUAGCUAAAAACUCGAAUUUUAAAUCAAGCGAUUUUUAGCCGACACAACCUAAAUGAGAAUUGAAGGUCUCGUCAUUAGGAGCACAACGGUAAAAAGUCUGACGAAAAGGACGCCGGAUGAAGAAGUUAUGAAUGUUUAACGGAUUUCCUGUCCCGGUCUGUUAAAAAUAAUAAUAUAAAAUUUAAAAUCAAAAUUAGCUGACGAAGUCUGAACGGAAGCUGUAGAUCGUAAUUUUAGCUACGCGUGCAUAUAAAGAACGUCAAAAACGGAGCUCGUAUGCGAAAGUUAUGGAUUUUAGAAGUUUUGGCGCGAAAAUCAAGAAAAUUCGCAUAGUCACAGUUUGCCACGUCACCCUCGCUUAGCAUGUGACACGUGUCCUGCUGAUUCACCAGGCUGCUGAGUCACUGAAACUGCUGAGUCAUGCGAAGCCACGUGUCUUCUUCUGAUUCGACCGAGGAGGUGGCCCAAUCCGAAGCAGCCAGCUCCCCAGCCGAAGCUUUGCCCUGCUGCCGCGUGUUCCGAGCCUCGCAUAGCCUAGCUCCGAGCCUUGCUUUGCCUAGCUCCGAACCUCGCAGGUGCACCAGUAGACUCCGGUCCACUUAGAAGCUGCCAGCGAGCCCUCGCAGGUGCGAGCCAUGUGCGAGCCAUGCGCAGCCUCGUGCGAGCCUUUGCCAGCGAACCCUCUCAGCCGUCGGAUCAGAUGCUUCUCAGCCCUUGGAUCAGAAGCCUCGCCCCUAUAAAUAGAAGGGUGCGAGACCUCCUGGGUAAUUUUGGAAUUUUGCCAUAUUUAACCCCUAAACCCAUAUUUCUUUCAUCUUAACAUCCCACAAAGCCUCAGUAUCGAUUGUAAAGCCCGGAAUACCCCACGAAGUGCCCGUGAAGCCCGGAAAAUUUAUCUUUUCGGUUUCAAAGCCCGACUUUUGCAGAGCCCGGUUUCUCAAUAAAACUCUCGGUUUUAUUAGAAACGAUCGUUUAAGGAAACAAAUUGCUGCCUGGUUUUCAUUAAAUCACGUGAGUGUGUAGUUACUUUCAAUUUACACAUAGAUAUGAAGUAUUUACCUUAAAAUACGUGUUAUGUGUAAAUAUGCUAAUUGUUUAUUUGAGGUGACUAUUGAAUUGAUGUUUUAUACAAGUUUUAAACUGUAUAUACUUUUUAUCUACAAAAUAUGUUGGGUAGAACAUGGCUAGAUGAAAUAGUUGAUGUGUGUUAAAAUGGUGAGAGGCCUCGAUGUUGUUAUUGUUGUUGUUGUAGUCAUCUAGCGGAGUAUAGAUGACGACCACAGACUUUCUAGAUAGUCCAGUGGAACACUAGCAGGUUCGCAACUUGUAGGUGUUGAUGAAUUAAAUGUUCAUUGGCGUACUCCAUCCCCCUCAUGGUUGCCUUAAGGACAUGUAUGGCUGAGGAAACCCCUUAGCAGUAGUGUCCAUCCCGAUGAUAAUCCUUAGGCUAGGUCCCUUGUGAUAGGUGUUUAGGGACGUAAAGUGAGGACAACGGGAAUGGGUAAUCAGGGUUAUUGUUGAUUGAUGAACUUAAUAAGUAUAUUAUUAUUGUGGGUUGAAAACCCUAUAUGCUCACCAGGCUCCCAAGCCUGACCCACUCAGUUUUUUUAUUACAGGUAGUGGACCCCGAGCAUAGUCGGAGGACGACGAGAGAUUUUUGGAUUAUAGGCCAGUAGUUGUAAAUAACUGUUGAAAGGCUUAUAAUGUCUUGUUUAUGCUUUUGAUCUGUAUCGGAACAUGACAUCCCGAGGUUUUGGAUAUAUAUGGAAAAUAUAUACCUUCUUAAUGAAGGGUUUUGAUAAACUUUUAUCAUAUGUUGUUUGGGGACCAAUUCCGCAACAUCUUUUAAAAAGAUUUCUCUGAUUUUAUUUUAAAAAGCAUAAUUUAAAUCGGUCUUUUCUGGCCGAGAAAUUUGGGGAUGUCACACAUUGUUAUGAUACUUCACAUGACGUCCUCCACC
rnacentral:lncRNA from 1 species